CGGGAAUCCAACUGUUUAA
rnacentral:misc_RNA from 1 species